UCAGACGAUGCGUCAUGCAUAUCAAUAAGCGGAGGAAAAGAAACUAACAUAGGAUUCCCUCAGUAACGGCGAGUGAAGGCGGGAAGAGCUCAAAUUUGAAAUCUUCAAGGUUUUACCUUGACGAAUUGUAGUUUAAAGAAGUGUUUUCUGUUGAAGUUUUGGUAAAAGUUCUUUGGAAUAGGACAUCAUAGAGGGUGGGAAUCCCGUAUUUGACCACUAUUUUCAGCUGUGUGAUACACUUUCAAAGAGUCGGAUUGUUUGGGAAUGCAGUCCAAAAUGGGUGGUAAAUUUCAUCUAAAGCUAAAUAUUGGCGAGAGACCGAUAGCGAACAAGUACCGUGAGGGAAAGAUGAAAAGAACUUUGAAAAGAGAGUUAAACAGUACGUGAAAUUGUCAAAAGGGAAGCGUUUGACACCAGUGUUGUUUUCUCGAAAAUCAAUUAAAAAGAGUUGGAUUUUGUGUUGUAUUGACCUUUAUCAGCUUUCUGCACUCUUUUUCCUGCUUUUUUUAAUGCACUUUUCGUUUAACAAGUCAACAUCAGUUUCUUUUGUUGUAAAAGGGUCAUUGGAAGGUGGCUUUCUCUUCGGAGAAAGUGUUUAUAGCCUUUGAUCUCUGCAAUCGGAGAGACUGAGGUCUGCAGCGUAGAUCCUUCGGGGUUAGAUACAUUUGUGCUAAGCUACAGCUUUUCAUAGACAACUUGUUGACUAUGUUUAGUCUUGUAACUUACCCGCUUAUGCUAUUUUACCUACGCUUAGGAUGUUGAUAUGCAUGACUGAUAU
rnacentral:rRNA from 1 species